rnacentral:rRNA from 1 species
UGGGGAAUAUUGCGCAAUGGGCGAAAGCCUGACGCAGCGACGCCGCGUGAGGGAUGAAGGUUUUCGGAUCGCAAACCUCUGUCAGAAGGGAAGAAACUACAUUGUGCUAAUCAGCAGUGUACUGACGGUACCUUCAAAGGAAGCACCGGCUAACUCCGUGCCAGCAGCCGCGGUAAUACGGAGGGUGCAAGCGUUAAUCGGAAUUACUGGGCGUAAAGCGCACGUAGGCUGUAGUGUAAGUCAGGGGUGAAAUCCCACGGCUCAACCGUGGAACUGCCUUUGAUACUGCACAACUUGAAUCCGGGAGAGGGUGGCGGAAUUCCAGGUGUAGGAGUGAAAUCCGUAGAUAUCUGGAGGAACAUCAGUGGCGAAGGCGGCCACCUGGACCGGUAUUGACGCUGAGGUGCGAAAGCGUGGGGAGCAAACAG